rnacentral:rRNA from 1 species
GAUGAACGCUGGCGGCGUGCCUAAUACAUGCAAGUCGAGCGAACAGACGAGGAGCUUGCUCCUCUGACGUUAGCGGCGGACGGGUGAGUAACACGUGGAUAACCUACCUAUAAGACUGGGAUAACUUCGGGAAACCGGAGCUAAUACCGGAUAAUAUAUUGAACCGCAUGGUUCAAUAGUGAAAGACGGUUUUGCUGUCACUUAUAGAUGGAUCCGCGCCGCAUUAGCUAGUUGGUAAGGUAACGGCUUACCAAGGCAACGAUGCGUAGCCGACCUGAGAGGGUGGUCGGCCACACUGGAACUGAGACACGGUCCAGACUCCUACGGGAGGCAGCAGUAGGGAAUCUUCCGCAAUGGGCGAAAGCUUGACGGAGCAACGCCGCGUGAGUGAUGAAGGUCUUCGGAUCGUAAAACUCUGUUACUAGGGAAGAACAAAUGUGUAAGUAACUAUGCACGUCUUGACGGUACCUAAUCAGAAAGCCACGGCUAACUACGUG